UCACCUAGAUGGGGAGUGGGGAGUGUGAGAGGGCAUGGCCAGGCCUGUGGGCCACCAUGCCCAGGCCCAGGAGACCCCAAACUGAAGAACGAGAGCAGGCCCCAUGAGGCUGGCUGGGCUGAGAAUGCCACCUGCGCCCACAGGCCUUCCAUGCAGGGACCCAGGGCUGCCCAGAGCUUGGAGAUGGAGCCAUAGUUGAUAAAAGCCAGGGAUUAAUGACAUAGAGAAGGGGGUCAUUCUGAAUCAUGGUGAGUUUCAGAUCAGAAUUUCAGUGUUUGUUCUAGCGCGUGCAUGAGGGGCACGGCAGACAGGCCAGGCCGACUAAUGCGUGUCUCCUGUCCCUGUUAGCAGGGGCCAAAGGCACACUGACUCUGCAUGUUAGGAGAGCACCGGUUCUCCACUGAUACAGUGAGUAUCACUCCAGCAACAGCAGAGUGCUGUCCCCUUGCCCUGAGGCAGGAAAGGAGAGGUUCCCAUGAAACAGCAAAGCUGAGCCACUCAUCACAACAAGAAAAGUGGCAUUGAGUUCUAUCAGGGAAGUGGGUUUUAGAAAACAGCCAGUAUUGACUUAUGUAUUUCUUGCAGCUGCUGUCCAGGGCUGUCACAGGCUGGGGAUGGGGUUGACAGUGUCAUGCACGACUUGGGCGAGUAAUUAUAAAAAUCAAAAUCAGCAACUAGUCCUGCUAAGUCAUUAGUUUCUGGAAUUAAUGAUGGCUUAAACUGUGUCUUUCUUUGCUAUGGUGACCUAGGGUUGACAUUGUAUUUCUAGUUCAGAAACAGGCCAUUUCGGGAGCUGGGCUUUUUCAUGAUGAUUCUUUUCGCUGGCUGGGCUCAUGGAGGACUCAGAUUUCUAAAAGGUUGAAAGGUGUGGAGGAGGUGAGUUAAUGCUUUCUCAGGAGUUGGUGUGAAUGUGAACCGGAAAAGUGGAUAAAACCCCCUAAGAAGGGCACAAGAAGCCACCUCCCUGCUCCCUGGAGCCUCACAGGAUUCUCUAAAGACCACUCGAGCCCUCUCGUUCUGUACCUUGCAGGUUAGAGCUUCUGUCUCCCACGGCCACAAUCGCUUUGGAGCCUGUGGCUUCCUGGAAGCUGUUCUGAAUGGGUGGACUUGACAUGCCAUGAUCCUCUAAAGGACACCAACCGCUAUCAGUGGAGGCAGCCAAAGCAGCUGAUUGAGCGCCCACUGUGUGCCGGGUCACACUGUUACCCAUUUCACAGCAGAUCCCAGAGGCUCGCACAUCCCCGCACUUCCUGCGGGCGUUCCCCACCUGCGGAGCAUCACCAAGGUCAUAGCUGGCCCAAGAGUUGGCCCGGGGUCACUCGGCUGAAGUGACGGUGUGGACCUCCAGUCUGGCAACCUGCCCCAGCGGCGCACCCUUGGAAACCCGCAAGCGGCUGCGCGGGGCCGCCAGGGGGCGGCGGGAUGAGUCUGAGAGCCACCUGAGCGCGACUACUGGCCAGCCAGCCCGGCAGCCGCGGAGGACCGGAUAUUGCUCUGAAGAGAGUGUGACACUUAAAUUCCUCACCAGAGACCCAGAGCAACAGGAACCAGAGGACUUGGGUCUGUGACACCAU